rnacentral:tmRNA from 1 species
GGGGAUGUUUGGUUUCGACAGGGUUCGAGGUUAGAUUGCUGCGUGCCGAAGCGCCCAGGCCUUCGUAAAAAUGGGCAAAAAAGAGUAACUGGCAACAGCGAACUCGCUUACGCUGCCUAAGUCCUUCGACCUCUAGUCAGCGCGUCCGCCCGGAUCUCUGCUCUGUGGAACCGGAAUCGGGCGUCACCAAGCAGAGCUGCGAUAGUGAAGUUCGCCUGAGCGAAGCUAUCAAAGUCAGUCAGGCUAACUCGGAACACUCCUGUCGGUGGGAUCGGUUUCGAGGAAUCUAAACGCCGACUAUGCGCGUAGGAUGCACUCGAUCAAGGGUUCUGGACGGGGGUUCGACUCCCCCCAUCUCCACCA